rnacentral:rRNA from 1 species
GCUCGUGUCGUGAGAUGUUGGGUUAAGUCCCGCAACGAGCGCAACCCCUAUUUCCAGUAGCCAGCAUUCAGGAUGGGCACUCUGGAGAGACUGCCCGGGAUAACCGGGAGGAAGGCGGGGAUGACGUCAAAUCAUCAUGCCCCUUAUGACCAGGGCUACACACGUGCUACAAUGGCGUAAACAAAGGGAGGCAAAGCGGUGACGCCAAGCAAAUCCCAAAAAUAACGUCCCAGUUCGGAUUGCAGCCUGCAACUCGGCUGCAUGAAGCUGGAAUCGCUAGUAAUCGCGGAUCAGAAUGCCGCGGUGAAUACGUUCCCGGGUCUUGUACACACCGCCCGUCACACCAUGGGAGUCGGAAAUGCCCGAAGUCAGUGACCCAACCGUAAGGAAGGAGCUGCCGAAGGUGGAGCCGGUAACUGGGGUGAAGUCGUAACAAGGUAGCCGUAUCGGAAGGUGCGGCUGGAUCACCUC